rnacentral:tRNA from 1 species
GGGCCUAUAGCUCAGUUGGUCAGAGCACCUGACUCAUAAUCAGGGAGUCCCUGGUUCAAGCCCAGGUGGGCCCACCA